AGGGGACCGCGGGCGGCGGGGGGAGGGGAGCGCGCCACCCCAGCAGACAAUGAGCGCCGCGCAGCCUGCGGGUGUGGGCCGAGCUGCGAGUACCUUCCUGGGAGAGGGCCAGUCCACCGAGGGGGCGCCGAGCCCUGGGACGCCCGAGGAGGGGCGGAGGUGGAGGAACGCUUGACCUGGCUGACGACCCACACCCAUCCGGCGGCGCAGCACUUUCCUCCGCCCCCAGUUACACACGCACUCACGGGGGCGGGGGGGGGGCUGGCACGAGAGGAGUUGGCUGUGUACAGCCCUGCGCAGCCACCGCAGCGGGAAGGACGCGCCAGCUAUCGGGUCAACGUGCCCCCAGAAUGAGGGGGAAAGUGCUUUGCUCCACGGGCCUUCCCCGCUCCUUCAUCCACGUUAGAAGAGCGUUAGGCUCUGCCUUUGUAUGUGAACUACCUUAAAUUUUCCCCGACCUCUAAUCGAGACCCUGGGGCUCGGGUCCUGGUGACCGUCGGGGAUCGAGGCUCCAAAGAUACGGAAAAGAAGGAACUCAGGUGCCCAGCUCCCUAUCUCUGCCCUGCUUUUUAGAAACAGACUAAAUCCCUAGGAGGUUUCGGGGAGUUCACGUCGACACUCACCAGCUAACCUUUGGGAACUUUUAAUUCGGGGUUGUGGUAUACGUAAAGGCUAGUCCCCGAAGGUGCGCGUAAUGAAAAGUGUUUCCACCCCAGUUGCGCCCCGAGAUGCUUUCCAAGUUUUGGGUGUCCCGUUUGCUCUGAGCUUAUCCUGGAGAACUUAAGACGUGACCCCAGAAGGCCGCGGAGAGAGAAUUUUAACUAGGGCAGGAGGAGUUGCUUUGUGAGGAUGGAUUUUACAAUCCCCCCCCCCCCAGCUUGUUAUCUAGGCCACCCAUGACCGACGAAAGAUCUUCCCUCCCGGCUUCUCCCAAGGCCGCUUUAAACCAAAUAAAUUUAGCUAUUAAGGGCCAAGAUGUCUGACAAAAGAUCCAAAGGUGUCUAUCUGUGAUCGCUUAAAGAAGCGAAGGAGAAGCUGGUGGCUCUCUGAUCCCGAUAAAGGCAUUCCACACGGCGCCGGCCUCCCUCCCCGCGGCCUGGUUGCGUCCUGACACCCUGAGAUCUCCGCUUCGCUGGCCAGAUCCCCACCGGCCGAGCGAGACCUGCGUCCGUUGCCCUGGGAAUGUGGAGGUCCCCAGGCGACCCGGCCUGGGCGUGCCGGUCCCCGGGGUCCUGGGAGCCGUGGAACUCCAGGCCGGACGGGGCUGGAGUCCCAAAACCGACCCCCCGCACUUGGCAGAAAAACUAAACCGAGCUCAUUAGGGCCUCAAUUACUAUCCCUUUUAUAUUAUUUUUUGAUGCUGAAUAAUUAAACUCGAGUCAAUCCAGCCCUACCUUCCCACCCUCACUCCCUGCGGGUUUGCCGAGGGUCCUCGUUACUCCACAUCGCUAGUCGUCGGGAACAGACCUUCUUUUGAACCCGGGUCAGAACCUGGUGGGUGGAACAAGGCAGCUAAAUUAGACUGAGGCUAACGGCGAGGGUGUGGACUCCGAGAAUAAGAGCGUGCAGGUGGGAGGCAUUCAGUCAUUCAGGCAUCCCCAGGUUGGGUUUGGUUAUAAAGUGUGGUAUUUAUUAUCAUUAUUAAUUACUACUGGCAUCACUACACAAAGCCUAGGGCUGCCAGCUGGGCCGAGGCCCUGCCCCUGGGGGGAUCCCUUCCCUUUCACUAAAGGUGAAUGGGAAUGUCCACUUUCCUGAUCCAGGACUGGGAAGUGGUCUUGGGAGUCAGGUGCUAUGUUUUGGGGGUUUCUGCACUGAGUCAUUUCUUUUCCCCUUAGGUAGCAUUCCCCCAUACUGUAAACACACACCUAAGCCUUUUCUACCUCUUUGCAGUAUGGGUGGAUAAGAACCUCAGAGUGUCAGAGACUGCUGGCUUCCCUGCAGUAGGGAUUCUUCCUGUAUCUUUGCCGACCCCUUAUGCGCUGUGGUGAAGCUGCAGACAGGACUCUGAAUUCCAGAGGCCAACCAACAUCUUCAGUUUCUGUCACCUCUUGCUGGGCCCCGGAAGUGAAAUCUGCCUCUCUUUUCUCAUUGCCCCACUCCAAAUAAGGUGAACUCCAAAACCAUUCACCUUAUCUAAUCCUCCCCCCCCACCCACCCAACCCUCCCGGGAUAGGAAAACUCAGAGCAUCAGAAGGAAAAUUUCUGCUCCCAGGGGAAAGAGAUACAGAAAUUUCCAGCACACUAGACAGACAGGACCCGGGCUUUCCCUGGAGUUCGCCGGUAUCACUAGGUGUGCAGACAAUGCCAAUUCUAGGGUCAGAGUCCAGAUGCCACUGCCCCAGAGCUGUCUCAGCUCAGAGACCUUUCUGUUUUUCUUUUCUUGGGGGUGGGGGGUAGGGGGGUUGGGUGUUGCUAAGGGGAAGCAGAAAAGGAGGUGAUAAGCUUUUGGAGAUUUGCUAAGUAAGUAACGCUCCUUCUUAAGUCAAUUAAAGGGGGGGAAGUGCCCCCAAAACAAAAAAUUACUGCAUUUGCCAGCCAGAACUAUGACCUCUGCACUCAGUUAUGUUGCAAAUAUGCAGAGAAUCAGGACCAAGAGUUGUCUACCCAUAUGCAGCCCUCCAGUUUCCUGCACUUACCCAACAGCACUGCGUAUAUACUGCACAAAGAAGAACUGCACAAAUAAGGGUUAGCAACUAGUUUUGAAGUGUUUACAGUCUAGAAGUUUGGCACUUCUGUAGAGCCGGUUAGGCAAAGUACCACAGACAGCUUCAAAGAUGGAGGGAGAUGCUUGAUCCUUUCUCUGGAAAAGUACCCAGGCUCAUAUUGUCCCCUAGGCUUCACAGUGAGUUUGUAAAAAAGGGAGUCACUCUGGCUCACAGACUGAGGGAAUUGCCUGGGUUUGAAUCCUGACUCCACCAUUUUCUGUGUGACAAAUUGCCUAAUCACUCUGUGCCUCAGUAUUCUCAUCUGUAACAAGGGGAUGAUAAAAGUACCUGCCUUACAGGAUUGUCAAGGGGAUUAAAAGAUUACCAGUAUCUACACUGUAAUAGACUCACAUGUACUACGCCAGAUUUCAAUUUCUUGUGUGACCUAACUGUUCCCCGGAGCUAAUUAAUUUACAGAAAAGAACUUCUUUGAGCACCCAUUCAACUUUUAAGUCCUGCCAUUGAUUAAAGGUCUCAGGCUUUCUCUACAUACCAGCGGUGAGGAUUUUAUUUAUUGCAUUAUAAUAGGAAGGGGUGGGGUGAGACAAACAUAGAUCCUUUACUUGCUUUUGGUUCCUUUGAAGAAACAUUCCCCAUCAUUCCCCCUUGCAAAUGCCAGCAGCAGACUCCAAAUGUCUUCUACAGGACAGAGAUAGUAAUCUUGAGGCUCAUCCCCUGAGAAAAGUAUCCCAGUCCUAGCAGCACCCCUCCCUGGGAACUUCUUUCUGGCAACAGAUAGGAGUGAGUUAACAGAUGGGGCCAUGAAGGAGGGCAACCCGUGGGCUGGCAUUAGAUAAAAGGGUGUGUGGGGGCUAAUUAAAUGGACCUGGUCAUCUGACUAUACUCCUCCCAUGCUUUGUACCUUUCAGUUUGGUAUCACUGUAUAUGCAGGAGACUUACUCUACUUUAGUCCCAUUUUGUUAAGGAAUAGAAAAAUAAAGAUCACUU